AAAUAAGUUACUAAGGGCACAAGGUGGAUGCCUUGGCACUAGGAGGCGAUGAAGGACGUGAUAGGCUGCGAUAUGCCUGGGGGAGGAGCCAAAUAUCCUUUGAUCCCGGGAUUUCCGAAUGGGGAAACCCACAUGGAGUCAUAUCCAUGUAUCCUUUAGCUGAAUACAUAGGCUUUAGGAGGCGAACGCGGUGAAGUGAAACAUCUCAGUAGCCGCAGGAGAAUAAAUCAAAAGAGAUUCCGGUAGUAGCGGCGAGCGAACCCGGAAGAGGCCAAACCGUUCAGUUUCGACUGAGCGGGGUUGUAGGGCCAGCAUAUAUCGAUCCAUGAUUAGAUAAGGGAACAGGUUGGGAAACCUGACCAAAGGGAGUGAAAGUCUCGUACCUUAAAUCGAAAGUGGCGUAGCUGGUACCUGAGUACCGCGGGACACGUGAAACCCCGUGGGAACCUGGGAGGACCAUCUUCCAAGCCUAAAUACUCCCUAGUGACCGAUAGCGAACCAGUACCGUGAGGGAAAGGUGAAAAGAACCCCUGUUAGGGGAGUGAAAUAGAACCUGAAACCUUGUGCCUACAAGCUGUGGGAGCGGACUUGUUCCGUGACCGCGUGCUUUUUGCAUAACGGGCCAGCGAGUUAAUCUGUAUUGCGAGGUUAAGUCUUAAGACGUAGCCGUAGCGAAAGCGAGUCUGAAUAGGGCGCCAAGUAUUGCGGAUUAGACCCGAAGCCGGGUGAUCUAUCCAUGAGCAGGUUGAAGCUUGAGUAAAAUCAAGUGGAGGACCGAACCAGUAUCGGUUGAAAACGAUUUGGAUGACUUGUGGAUAGGGGUGAAAGGCCAAUCAAACCCGGUGAUAGCUGGUUCUCCCCGAAAUAUAUUGAGGUAUAGCGUCACAUUAGUUUGCCGGAGGUAGAGCACUGAAAGGGCUAGGGGCCUCACCAGGUUACCAACCCCUAUCAAACUCCGAAUGCCGGUAAAUGAUGUGUGGCAGUCAGGCUAUGGUUGCGAAGGACCGUGGCCAAAAGGGAAACAGCCCAGACCAACAGCUAAGGUCUCGAAAUCAAUGCUAAGUGGGAAAGGUGGUGGAGUUGCUGAUACAUCCAGGAGGUUGGCUUAGAAGCAGCCAUCCUUUAAAGAAAGCGUAAUAGCUCACUGGCCUAGCGAUUCUGCGCCGAAAAUGUAACGGGGCUAAGCAUUGUACCGAAGCUUUGGGUUCAUAGUUUACUAUGAGCGGUAGGGGAGCGUUCUCAGAUGGGAUGAAGGUGAACCGUGAGGUUUGCUGGACUAAUGAGAAGUGAAUAUGCUGGCAUGAGUAACGAUAAAAUAAGUGAGAAACUUAUUCGCCGUAAACCUAAGGUUUCCUGGGUAAAGUUAAUCUUCCCAGGGUAAGUCGGCCCCUAAGGCGAGGCAGAAAUGCGUAGUCGAUGGGAAACAGGUUAAUAUUCCUGUACAUGUGUAUGUGUGCGAUGGAGGGACGCAGGAGGAUAGACGGUCCGGGUGUUGGAUAUCCCGGUGCAAGCGUGUAGGGUUGAGCUAUAGGCAAAUCCGUAGCUCUAUAUGCCUGAGACGUGAUGCCGAGUCAUUAAACCGACGAAAGCCGUUAAUUCCAUGCUGCCAAGAAAAGCUUCUAAGUUUAGCAUACGCAUACCGUACCGCAAACCAACACAGGUAGGUGGGUCGAGCAGACCAAGGCGCUUGAGAGAACUCUGGUUAAGGAACUCGGCAAAAUGACCCCGUAAGUUCGCAAGAAGGGGUGCUCGAAAUUGUGAUCGAUUAACUUUGUGAGCGAUUUUGAGACGCAGAAAAUCGGGGGGGGCGACUGUUUACUAAAAACAUAGGUCUCUGCUAAGUCGUAAGACGAUGUAUAGGGACUGACGCCUGCCCGGUGCUGGAAGGUUAAGAGGUGGGGUUAGACUUCGGUCGAAGCUCUGAAUUGAAGCCCCAGUAAACGGCGGCCGUAACUAUAACGGUCCUAAGGUAGCGAAAUUCCUUGUCGGGUAAGUUCCGACCUGCACGAAUGGCGUAACGAUCCCCCCACUGUCUCAACCAGAGACUCAGUGAAAUUGAAUUCCCAGUGAAAAUGCUGGGUACCCGCGGAAGGACGGAAAGACCCUGUGCACCUUUACUGCAGCUUGACAUUGGUAUUUGAUUAAUAAUGUGUAGGAUAGGUGGGAGACUUUGAAGCGUGUUCGCCAGAAUGCGUGGAGUCACCCUUGAAAUACCACCCUUUAUUACUUAGGUAUCUAAUCCAUAACCGUCAUCCGGUGUGGAGACAGUGUCUGGUGGGUAGUUUGACUGGGGCGGUCGCCUCCUAAAUUGUAACGGAGGCUUGCAAAGGUUACCUCAGGCUGAUUGGAAACCAGCCGUUGAGUGCAAAGGCAUAAGGUAGCUUGACUGUGAGAGAGACAUCUCGAGCAGGAACGAAAGUUGGUCUUAGUGAUCCGGUGGUUCCGCAUGGAAGGGCCAUCGCUCAUAGGAUAAAAGGUACGCCGGGGAUAACAGGCUGAUCGCGUCCAAGAGUUCACAUCGACGACGCGGUUUGGCACCUCGAUGUCGGCUCAUCACAUCCUGGGGCUGAAGCAGGUCCCAAGGGUACGGCUGUUCGCCGUUUAAAGUGGUACGCGAGCUGGGUUUAAAACGUCGUGAGACAGUUUGGUCCCUAUCCUCCGUGGGCGUAGGAGAAUUGAAGAGGGUCUGCCCCUAGUACGAGAGGACCGGGGUGGACGAACCUAUGGUGUUCCUGUUGUCACGCCAGUGGCAUAGCAGGGUAGCUAAGUUCGGAAAGGAUAACCGCUGAAAGCAUCUAAGCGGGAAACCCGCCUCAAGAUUAAUUCUCCCUGGACUAUAUGUCCCUGAAGAUCCCUUGAAGACUACAAGGUUGAUAGGCUGGAGGUGUAAGCAGCGUGAGUUGUUCAGCUGACCAGUACUAAUAGAUCGUGCGGCUUAUUU
rnacentral:rRNA from 1 species